CAGUAGCCGCGGUAAUACGUAGGUGGCAAGCGUUGUCCGGAUUUAUUGGGCGUAAAACGAGCGCAGGCGGUCAAUUAAGUCUGAUGUGAAAGCCCCCGGCUCAACCGGGGAGGGUCAUUGGAAACUGGUUGACUUGAGUGCAGAAGAGGAGAGUGGAAUUCCAUGUGUAGCGGUGAAAUGCGUAGAUAUAUGGAGGAACACCAGUGGCGAAGGCGACUCUCUGGUCUGUAACUGACGCUGAGGCUCGAAAGCGUGGGUAGCAAACAGGAUUAGAUACCCCCGUAGUCCCUGUCUCUUAUAC
rnacentral:rRNA from 1 species